GACGAACGCUGGCGGCGUGCCUAAUACAUGCAAGUUGAGCGCUGAAGGUUGGUACUUUUACCGACUGGAUGAGCAGCUAACGGGUGAGUAACGCGUGGAGAAGCUUCCUUUGAGCGGGGGACAAUAAUGGGAAAAAAAUGAUGAUAACGCAUCAAACCUUUAAAAAGAGGUUUUAAGUUUGAUAGAGACAUUGCCAUCACUCAAGGAUGAUCCUGCGUUUCAUUAGAUAGUUGGGGAGGUAAAGGCCCACCAAGGCGAUGGUACAUAGCCGACCUGGGAGGGUGAUCGGCCACAUUGGGAAUGAGACACGGCCCAAACUCCUACGGGAGGCAGCAGUAGGGGAUCAUCGGAAAUGGACGAAAGGCUGACUGAGCAAAGCCGGGUGAGUGAAGAAGGUUUUCGGAUCGUAAAACCCUGUUGGUAGAGAAGAAAGUUGGUGAGAGUGGAAAGCUCAUCAAGUGACGGUAACUACACAGAAAGGGACGGCUAACUACGUG
rnacentral:rRNA from 1 species